UCUAGCGGGACAGGCCAAAGUUAAGUCGGAGAAAAUGCAGUCCUUUAAAAAUUAUUCAAUGUUUCUCUCUGGCCCGGUAGCAAAUGCUUCACGGACAGGUACCGGUCCCCGGAUCGGUGGUUGGAGACCACCGCUUUAAGAGACGUGGGCCGCCAAUUUUGUUUUGAUUGAGAAGUGUUCAAAACACUCGUUUAUUUUAAAGUCAACCCGGACAAUUCCUUAAUUAACACAAUAAUAACAGUUCCAUUCUCAAAAUAUUUCUCUUCGUGAGUUUUAAAAAAUGUUUGCAGUGUUUCAGAAAAAAUUUUAAGAAUAUACACGUCGUUUUUGUCUUAAGUAUGUCAAAAAUCCAAGCGCACAAAAUGCGUCACAAGCUGGAGUCAAGCCACUCUCUUCUCUCAUUGGUCAACAGCAAGUCUAACGCUGUCGACAGGAAGUUGAUGAAUAACGCACAUUUAGCAUUUGCUGCCAUUUUAAACAUUCCAGAUAAUCUAUGAGGAUUUUGAAAUGAUAUUCAACAUGUCCAUUUAGAGCACCGUCCACCAUGCUACAAUUUCGACGUGUUUGGGCUGUCUCGCUCGCGGCCUCCUGCUCGCUCGUCUCUGUGCUCUCCUCUCUAUCUCCCCCCAUGGCCUCGGCCCCUGCUGAUAAAAGGAGACAGGUGAUUAGAUAACCCGCCUUAGCUGGGCAAUCCACUCACCUGUCAGCUGCUUCGAAGCCGGUCUAUACACACGCCCUUCCCGCAGGGGGCGCGCAGACCACGCCCCCCUCCACAAUGUCUAUAUAAAUUAUUACAUGCACAUGUGCGCACACACACACAGAGGAAGUGCUUUUAUUUUGUCGCAUUUUCGUGCACUUCCUCUUCAGGCAGCAAACAUGAGGAGGCACAUGUUUGAGUUGGCUUAAUUGGUAAGUUUAACUCAAUUAUAAUUUAAAAGUACAUUGAACAUAAACUCCAAAUAUUUACGAUCUGAUAUACCGUAUUUUUCGGAGUAUAAGUCGCUCCGGAGUAUAAGUCGCACCGGCCGAAAAUGCAUAAUAAAGAAGGAAAAAAACAUAUAUAAGUCGCACUGGAGUAUAAGUCGCAUUUUUGGGGGACAUUUAUUUGAUAAAAUCCAACACCAAGGAUAGACAUUUGAAAGGCAAUUUAAAAUAAAUAAAGAAUAGUGAACAGCAGGCUGAAUAAGUGUACGUUAUAUGACGCAUAAAUAGCCAACUGAGAACGUGCCUGGUAUGUUAACGUAACAUAUCAUGGUAAAAGUCAUUCAAAUAACUAUAACAUAUAGAACAUGCUAUACGUUUACCAAACAAUCUGUCACUCCUAAUCGCUAAAUCCCAUGAAAUCUUAUACGUCUAGUCCAGGGGUCGGCAACCCAAAAUGUUGAAAGAGCCACAUUGGACCAAAAA